rnacentral:rRNA from 1 species
CCUACGGGUGGCUGCAGUGAGGAAUAUUGGUCAAUGGACGAGAGCCUGAACCAGCCAAGUAGCGUGAAGGAUGACUGCCCUAUGGGUUGUAAACUUCUUUUAUAUGGGAAUAAAGUGUGGCACGUGUGCGUUUUUGUAUGUACCUUAUGAAUAAGGAUCGGCUAACUCCGUGCCAGCAGCCGCGGUAAUACGGAGGAUCCGAGCGUUAUCCGGAUUUAUUGGGUUUAAAGGGAGCGUAGGUGGAUUGUUAAGUCAGUUGUGAAAGUUUGCGGCUCAACCGUAAAAUUGCAGUUGAAACUGGCAGUCUUGAGUACAGUUGAGGUAGGCGGAAUUCGUGGUGUAGCGGUGAAAUGCUUAGAUAUCACGAAGAACUCCGAUUGCGAAGGCAGCCUACUAGACUACAACUGACACUGAUGCUCGAAAGUGUGGGUAUCAAACAGGAUUAGAUACCCGGGUAGUC